UUAAGGGCAGUUGGUGGAUGCCUUGACUUAAAAGGCCGAUGAAGGACGUGGCGUAGCUGCGAUAAGCCUCGGGGAGGUGCCUAGCAACCUUUGAUCCGGGGAUGUCCGAAUGGGGAAACCCCGUCCCGAGCAAUCGGGAUGAUCCUGAUGGUUGGUAACAUCAGGAUGGUAACCCGCUGAAGUGAAACAUCUCAGUAAGCGGAGGAAAAGAAAAAAUAGCUAUCACAACUUUCAACAGCUAACUUCUAAUCUCUAACACAUCGUUGGUGGUUAGUUGUUGGUAGUUGGAACUGUGUUAGUCAUUCCCUGAGUAGCGGCGAGCGAAAUGGGAACAGCUCAAACCAAGUUUAUAGUUUGUAAAAAUUAUGGGCUUGGGGUUGUAAGUUAAGUCAGGCCUUGUGCAAAAGAACAGAACUUUGUUAGUUGAACGCCCCUGGAACGGGCGGCCAAAGAAGGUGAUAGCCCUGUAAGCGAAAAUUUAGUUCUAUCUUUGACUUAUACUUGAGUAAUCCGAGGAACGACAACUUCGGAUGAAUCCGGGAGGACUAUACUCCCAAAGCUAAAUACCUUUUAAGAUCGAUAGUGAACUAGUACCGUGAGGGAAAGGUGAAAAGCAGCCCGGAAGGGCGGUGAAAUAGUACCUGAAACCAAUUGCCUACAACGAAUCGGAGUCCACGAUACGCGCAAGCGUAUCGGGAUGACGGUGUGCCUCUUGGAGAAUGAGCCAACGACUUCAUUUGCAUUGCCUACCUAAGCCUCGAAAGAGGUGUAAGUAUAGGGAAACCGUGUCUUAAUAGGGCAUAGCAUCUCAAAAAUAGAGAGCGGGUUUUAUACUCUCUUUCUAUUUUUGAGAUUGCGGGUAGUGCGAAUGAGACCCGAAGCCAGAGCGAGCUACCCAUGGUCAGGAUGAAGUCCCGAGAAAUCGGGAUGGAGGUCCGUACUCACCAAUCGCGCAAUAUUGGGGGAUGAACUGUGGGUAGAAGUGAAAAGCUUAUCGAGCCUGGUAAUAGCUGGUUCUCUUCGAAAUAGCUUUAGGGCUAGCGCUUUGUUUUUAGCCGCGGGGGUAGAGCACUGAAUGGAGUAGGGUGGCGCAAGCUACUUAUUCCAAACAAACUCCGAAUACCGCGGUGAUUAUCAAGGCAGUUAGACUGUGGGGGCUAAGCUCCAUAGUCGAGAGGAGAAGAAUCCUGACCGCCAUGUAAGGUCCCCAAGUUUAAGCUAAGUGGGAAAGGAUGUGUUUUCCCUUAGACAGGUGGGAGGUUGGCUUAGAGGUAGCCAUCCUUUAAAGAGUGUGUAACAACUCACCACUCUAUCUACUCCGACGCAAGUUGGAGUGAAUGGGAGAACGCGCCAAAGAUUUAACGGGGCUAAGCUUAACACCGAACAUGCGGAUGCUCCGACCUAGUGUCGGGGCGUGGUAGAAGAGCAUUCCUAGCAGCUGCGAAGGUUGACCCGCGAGGGCGGCUGGAGCGCUAGGAAGAGAGAAUGUUGGCCUGAGUAACCGCAAGUCCGAUGAGAUAUCGGACCGCCGAAAGCCUAAGGUUUCCUUGGCAAUGUAAAUCAGCCAAGGGUUAGCCGGACCUAACCCAUGAUUCCACAAAGGGAUCGUGGGGAUGGACAAAAUGUUAAUAUUCAUUUGCUGCCGAUGUUUCCGAUGGGGCGACAAAGAUGAGUAUGCGAAGCGCGUUAUUGAAUUCGCGUUUCUGCGCUAAAGGUGUUUUCCCGGCAAAUCCGGAGAACUGCUUUUAAUGGCGACCCCAGGCGUGGAGAAAGAUUUUCCUACGGGAGGAUUGAUUUCGCGCAGCCAUCUUUCUAGAAAACCCUCUAAGGUUAAAACAUUGGCAACCGUACUAAAACCGAAACAGGUAGGCGCGUCGAGUAGACGAAGGCGAACGGGUGAUUCCUCGUUAAGGAACUCGGCAAAACAACGGCCGUAAGUUCGCAAAAAGGCCUUCCGCCCUAGUGGCGGACGCAGCCAAAGACCCCCUGGCAACUGUUUAUCUAAAACACAGGUCCCUGCUAACUCGCAAGAGGAUGUAUAGGGGCUGACGCCUGUCCAGUGUCGGGAUGUUAACGGUGGAUGUCCAUUGAGAUUUAUCUUGGUGGGCUGAUGCCCGAAGCACCGAUGAACGACGGCGGUAACUAUAACCGUCUUAAAGUUCUGGUCAUCUCAAUAGAGGUGGCUAGAAGAGCUGAGACGGUUAUAGUGAUGAUAAACAUGGUAGUUGCUUAAUCACACAAUGUGAUUGCUCUUAAAAGAUAUUCGGCUAUAUGCUGGAAAAUCUGUGGAUAGAAUCCUUAGUAUCGAGGGCUACUCAUGGUAUUAUAAUACCAUGAGUAACAAUGCUUCUCGUGCAGAAAACCAGCAGGAAAGGCUCAGAUUGGAAGGGUGGAUCACCGGAUUUGUAGAUGGCGAAGGAUGUUUCACCGUAAGCAUUAUUCGCAACAAAUACGGUUUGCAAGUAUUUCCUGAAUUUGUGGUAAGUCAAGGUGAAAAGAGUCGUGCCGCGUUAAAGAAAAUAGAAAAAUUCUUUAAUUGCGGACACAUCAAUCUCAAUACGCGCCGCGACAAUCAUCAUGAACAAAUGUUGAAAUACUGUGUUAGAUCGAUUCGAGAUCUCAAUGAAAAAAUAAUUCCGUUUUUCGAAAAAAAUAAGCUGAAAACCCGCAAGCAAAAGGAUUUUCAGAUAUUCCGUAGGGUGAUAAAACUGAUGGUUAAACGGAAGCAUCUUUCAAAAACGGGAAUGGCUCGGAUACACUCUCUUCUUAAGAAAAUGAACAGAAGAAAAUACCAAUCGAGAAUCCUCAGAAACCAAACGCCGAAUCCGCCUUUGGCGGAAAGAUAGAGUUCGGCCUAUAUGGCGACAUAUAGACAACCUAGCGAAAUACCUUGUCAGGUAAGUUCUGACGCGCAUGAAAGGCGUAAUGACUGGGGGACUGUCUCAACGAGGAGCCCGGUGAACGGGCAAUUCCGGUAAAGAUGCCGGGUACCUGCAGCAAGACGGAAAGACCCCGGGAGCUUUACUGCAGCUUGGUAUUGCCUUAGCGAUUUUU
rnacentral:rRNA from 1 species